rnacentral:rRNA from 1 species
UAGGGAAUAUUGGUCAAUGGAUGCAAGUCUGAACCAGCCAUGCCGCGUGCAGGAAGAAGGCCUUCUGGGUUGUAAACUGCUUUUGCCAGGGGAUAAAAUGGGAGUGCGCUCCUAAUUGAAGGUACCUGGUGAAUAAGCCACGGCUAACUACGUGCCAGCAGCCGCGGUAAUACGUAGGUGGCAAGCGUUGUCCGGAUUUAUUGGGUUUAAAGGGUGCGUAGGCGGCCCUGUAAGUCAGUGGUGAAAUACUCCAGCUUAACUGGAGGGGUGCCAUUGAUACUGCAGGGCUUGAGUGGAGUCGAGGUAGGCGGAAUUGACGGUGUAGCGGUGAAAUGCUUAGAUAUCGUCAAGAACACCGAUAGUGUAGACAGCUUACUAGGCUUCAACUGACGCUGAGGCA